rnacentral:misc_RNA from 1 species
ACGAGUUUUAAUUGUUAAGGGUUGGAGUUGAGCUGGUUAAUCUAAUUAAUAUGUGCUUACUCUAAUCGAAACAAGUCCACUCAGUUACCUUAACACCUUGUGAACUUAUUCAUUACAAACAUUAUUAUUUGUUAUUGAGAACGUUUGAUUAUUAAAAAGUUAAUA